CUAGUGCUAGUCAGUGCAAUAGUUUGAAUACUAGUAGUGGAUCAAUUGGACUUUCCAAUCUUCAUCUUGAAUCCAAUGGCUCAGAGCCUAAUACUCCCACCACCCAACACUCAGAUGCACAUGGUCCUCAGCCAGGCGAUAGAGACAAUUUCGGAGACUCGUCAUCGAGCCAUUAGGAUACAACUUAUGUCCGGAUGUGGGUAUGGCAAAGAUUAUUUUAAAGUGCAUCGGAACUCACUAUAAUGGUGUGUAUCCGAAUUGGAGUUCGAUUCCACUUAACACCCAAGGGCAGAUGUUCAACGAAUUUAAGAAAUAUUAUGUAUGGGCUCCCGAACACGAGGAUGACGUUCAAGUGAACUUCAAGCUUAAAGCUUCAAAGUUGCUUUCUAGCACAUUUUGUGACUGUCG